rnacentral:lncRNA from 1 species
CAUCGAUGCUGCCUCAGCAAUCACCACCUGGCUCUCUGCAAUGGGGAAAGAACUGGUUGCCUCCCGUGUUUUGCCAAAUCUCGUGCUAAGAAUUAGGGCACCAGAGGGGUUGCAGCAGGUGUUCAGAACCAGCUGAGCAUUUGCUUGUUCCACUUUGGGAAUACAGAAGAAAAUGUGAAGCUGAAGUGGCUCUUAAUAACUGCAGAGACUGAAGCACAGUCAAAGGGGUAAAAUGCAGAGCAUGAAGCUGACACAGAGGCAUUCUUCCCCAAGAAGUCAAGUGGACAUAGAGUGACAGCCACGUGGUGCUUUGGUGCCAUGCAGGGCAUGGAGGGAAGAGAUCACACAACCCAGACUGGUCAAUCACUUUGAAAAACAGGAAAUCAGCUGAGUAUUAUCCCUAUGAGACACACGUGCAGUGCUUGAUUCACAGCUCUUUUACUACAGAAGAGUCAAGAAGUGUGCCUUGGAGGUGAUGUCAAGAGUUACGGAUCAAUUAACCUUGGAUGGCAGCACAUAUGGCAGCACUUAUGGCAGUCUCUGAGCACCUCAGGUCAUCAUCUCUGUGUUGGUUGUGCUCAUGCCAGAGAUUGCUAAGAAACCUGACUACAGUUUGCAAAACCCCCAGACACUGAAACAAGCACCACAGAAUAGUAAGAGGACACUGC